rnacentral:misc_RNA from 1 species
GAUGAAGAACGCAGCGAAAUGCGAUAGGUAAUGUGAAUUGCAGAAUUCAGUGAAUCAUCGAAUCUUUGAACGCACAUUGCGCCCGCCAGUAUUCUGGCGGGCAUGCCUGUUCGAGCGUCAUUUCAACCCUCAAGCUCAGCUUGGUGUUGGGACUCGCGGUAACCCGCGUUCCCCAAAUCGAUUGGCGGUCACGUCGAGCUUCCAUAGCGUAGUAAUCAUACACCUCGUUACUGGUAAUCGUCGCGGCCACGCCGUAAAACCCCAACUUCUGAAUGUUGACCUCGGAUCAGGUAGGAAUACCCGCUGAACUUAAGCAUAUCAAUAAGCGGAGGA